rnacentral:rRNA from 1 species
UACGUAGGGGGCAAGCGUUGUCCGGAUUUAUUGGGCGUAAAGAGCGUGUAGGCGGCCAGACAGGUCCGUUGUGAAAACUGGAGGCUCAACCUCCAGACGUCGAUGGAAACCGUCUGGCUAGAGUCCGGAAGAGGAGAGUGGAAUUCCUGGUGUAGCGGUGAAAUGCGCAGAUAUCAGGAAGAACACCCGUGGCGAAAGCGGCUCUCUGGGGCGGUACUGACGCUGAGACGCGAAAGCGUGGGGAGCGAACAGG